CAAUAGCGUAUACUAACGUUGUUGCAGUUAAAAGCUCGUAGUUGGAUUUCUGACGGCCUUAGCUCAGCUCGACUCCCUGAGUCGUUGUCUGUCUGAGGUAGUCAACAUUUGGCGUGGACCAGUGUCGGGCUUUUAUUAGCACGUGCUGGCGAUCGUCUCGUUUACUUUGAGAAAAUUAGAGUGUUCAAAGCGGGCUUACGCUUGAAUAUUUCAGCAUGGAAUAACACUAUAGGACUCCUGUCCUAUUUCGUUGGUCUCGGGACGGGAGUAAUGAUUAAGAGGAACAGUUGGGGGCAUUCGUAUUUCAUUGUCAGAGGUGAAAUUCUUGGAUUUAUGAAAGACGAACUUCUGCGAAAGCAUUUGCCAAGGAUGUUUUCAUUAAUCAAGAACGAAAGUUGGGGGCUCGAAGACGAUUAGAUACCGU
rnacentral:rRNA from 1 species